GGGGGCGGAUCGGGCCUGGUGGCUCGCCUGGUCUUCAAAACCAGUGUGAGGUCCGAAAAGGGAUCUCAGGUGGGUUCGAUUCCCACACGCUCCCGCCA
rnacentral:tRNA from 1 species